UGAUGAGACAAGGAAUUAAAAAAAAGAAAAAACUUUAAAUACCAUCCACGUGAUUUCACACUUUCUUACUUUAAUACUAUGUGGUUUAAAAUAUAUUAAUUUAGUAUCCUGUGGUUUCAUUUUUAUUUUUUUUAUUAUCGAUUCCACUAAUUUUUUUGUUAAAUCAACGACAAAGUUAAAACUAAUGGGGCGCUAAAGCGAAUAUUCAAUAAACCUAGGUGUGGUAUAUGAAGUUUUUUGUAUAUAAUUUAAUGAAAUAUUAACAGAAAGUUGACGAAAAGAUAAAAAUAAAACCAUAGGACACUAACUUGAUACACUUUAAACCAUAGGGUACUAAAGUGAAAAAGUACGAAAUCACAGGGUGGUUUUUGAAGUUUACCCUAAAAAAAAACACGCACCAACGUUCAUCUCUAGUAUUUUGUGGACAGACCUAUCUGAAUGUAUAAAUAUCUUAUUUAGUAUAUUUUUAUUCUUUAGGUCAUAUUUAGAUAUUAGAAUAAGUUAUCCAAUAACAUUCUAUUUGGUUUGAAGAUUUUUAUAUUGUGACUGAAGGUGAGAAGUGUAACCAAAUGUUUAGAAUAAAAUAAUAUGUUUAGCCUUCAAGUCAUUUUAUCAUGUUUUACGUAAAACAAACUACCUAUCAAAUCAUAUAUGUCAAGAUCUUUUAAUUAGUAACAAAAAUUA
rnacentral:lncRNA from 1 species